UACGUAGGGGGCAAGCGUUGUCCGGAUUUAUUGGGCGUAAAGCGCUCGCAGGCGGCUUGCUACGUCAUGCGUGAAACACCCCGGCUCAACUGGGGAGGGUCGUGUGAUACGGGCAGCUUGAGGCCAGUAGGGGGAUGCGGAAUUCCGGGUGUAGUGGUGGAAUGCGUAGAGAUCCGGAGGAACACCAGCGGCGAAGGCGGCAUCCUGGACUGGUACUGACGCUCAUGAGCGAAAGCGAUGGGGAGCGAG
rnacentral:rRNA from 1 species